rnacentral:misc_RNA from 1 species
UCACUACUUGCGUAGGCAGUCUGGCUAGAGUCCCCACCACUACGUGCUGGCAACUAAGAGCAGGGGUUGCGCUCGUUGCGGCACUUAAGCCAACACCUCACGGCACGAGCUGACGACAGCCAUGCAGCACCUGUGCUGGCCCCUUACGGACACGGGCUUUCACCCGCUUUAACCAGCAUGUCAAGCCCAGGUAAGGUUCUUCGCGUUGCAUCGAAUUAAGCCACAUGCUCCGCUGCUUGUGCGGGCCCCCGUCAAUUCCUUUGAGUUUCAGCCUUGCGGCCGUACUCCCCAGGCGGGGCACUUAAUGCGUUAGCUGCGGCACAGACGACGUGGAAUGCCGCCCACACCUAGUGCCCACCGUUUACAGCGUGGACUAC